rnacentral:rRNA from 1 species
UACGUAGGGUGCGAGCGUUAAUCGGAAUUACUGGGCGUAAAGCGUGCGCAGGCGGUUCGUUGCGUCGGUGGUGAAAGCCCCGGGCUUAACCUGGGAAUGGCCAUGGAAACUGGCGAACUGGAGUGUGGCAGAGGGGGGUGGAAUUCCGCGUGUAGCAGUGAAAUGCGUAGAGAUGCGGAGGAACACCGAUGGCGAAGGCAGCCCCCUGGGCUAGCACUGACGCUCAGGCACGAAAGCGUGGGGAGCAAACAGG